rnacentral:rRNA from 1 species
UACGUAGGGUCCGAGCGUUGUCCGGAAUUACUGGGCGUAAAGAGCUCGUAGGUGGUUUGUCGCGUUGUUCGUGAAAACUCACAGCUUAACUGUGGGCGUGCGGGCGAUACGGGCAGACUUGAGUACUGCAGGGGAGACUGGAAUUCCUGGUGUAGCGGUGAAAUGACGCAGAUAUCAGGAGGAACACCGGUGGCGAAGGCGGGUCUCUGGGCCGUAACUGACGCUGGAGGAGCGGAAAGCAUGGGGAGCGAACAGG